UGGUCACAUCGAUUAGUGCAAAAAAUUGUUCCUAUACUACCAGCUUAGGUUCGAACCUAUGAGGUCACACGUAUAAAAGUUUUCUGUUUGAUCAAGAUGGCUGAUGGAUGAUUGAGAAUCAUUCAGGAAUAAUUUGGUCAAUUUGAUUGGCAAAUUAUCCUAUAAAAUAAUUAAAGUAAUUAUUGGAGGAUUAAUUAGUAAUUAGAUUACAAAUAAACUCAAUUUGAUUGAGUAAAUGGACCAAGGAUGAGCCAAAUUGAAUUGGAU
rnacentral:lncRNA from 1 species